GAGCUUUGCACCGGGAACCCCCUUCAGACAUUAGGGCUCAUACAGAGAGCGGUCAUGGUAGCAGUGUUGAGGAGCCCCCCACCUCACCCCACCCCACCCCACAUGACCACUGCCCACCCCCUACCCAGACCUCACCACUCAGCGCUGCCAGCAUCAUCCCAGCCAGCCGGCAGCCAGAUGCGGGGCCGAGGCCAGCACAGACAGCAACAUAGGAGCCACCGAGGACCAAGGCCACAGAGAUAGCAGCACACAGACUGAACCAAAGGACAGCGCAUACACUGUAACCAAUAGGUCUGGCCACAUAUCUGAGAUGCCGUAUCAUCGCUCCACCCAUGAUGUUUAUCUCUGCUUCAUACAGCCGUGUGGUCCAGUAAAGACUAUAGUUGCUGGUGUGUUUUCCAUGCUUUAAUUCACCACCUCCUCCUGAGUGCAUUUGCUGCAUUACCCUGGCCUUUUCCUCGCUCCCGGGGUCCAGUUUUCCCAGGAAUCCCUUGGGCAAUCACAAGGGGGAUUCCUGGAAAUACUGUUCUUGGGGGUGGGGCUUGACUACAUGGAUCUGGGAUAGUAAUACAAUCUGCUCGUGAUAUGUUCCACAGACAUGUGUGAUGUAAUGGAAAAUUCUAUGAACGGGGAAGGACAAUGAAGGAAGAUAUAAAAUAGUGUAGCAUUCGUUCUAUCUUGAUGCAAGGCCUGGCCUGGAUAAAUACUCUCAUGUAUAUAUGUGUCUUUACCUUUUGAUAUGAAUUUCACUAUGUCUGAGAAUCUUUAUACACUCAUACAAUUUCAUAUUAGCUAUAAUAUAACUUUUUCAUAUCAAAUGUGCCACGUGAAUUAAAAAAAAAAACUGUUAAUAAAUGUCAACAUUUCCAACA